GACGAACGCUGGCGGCGUGCUUAACACAUGCAAGUCGGACGGAAAGGCCUGCUUUCCCUUGUGGAUUGCGGGUACUCGAGUGGCGAACGGGUGAGUAACACGUGAGUGAUCUGCCCCCAACUUGGGUAUAAGCCUGGGAAACUGGGUCUAAUUCCCGAUAGGCCUGCAGGGUGGUGCCUGUGGUGGAAAACGAUUUUCUAGUGGUUGGGGAUGAGCUCGCGGCCUAUCAGCUUGUUGGUGGGGUAAUGGCCUAACAAGGCGGCGACGGGUAGCCGGCCUGAGAGGGUGGACGGCCACAGUGGGACUGAGCUACGGCCCAGAGUCCGACGGGAGGCAGCAGUGGGGAAUAGUGGCCAAUGGGGGGAAUCCUGAUGCAGCGACGCAGCGUGGGGGAUGACGGCCUUCGGGUUGUAAACUCCUUUCGACCGCGAGGAAGCCACCUGGUUGGAAGGGUGGUGACGGUAGUGGUGGAAGAAGCACCGGCUAACUACGUG
rnacentral:rRNA from 1 species